rnacentral:tRNA from 1 species
CCUUUGAUGGCUCAGUUGGCAGAGCGGAGGGCUGUAGAGACACUUGCUGAAAUCCUUAGGUCGCUGGUUCGACUCCGGCUCGAAGGA